UCUGUUAAAUUCUGCUUCUCUGAAGAAUCGAUAGAGAAAGAGAGAGACAUGGAGAGCUCCGGACGUGCGGGAGUAAUGGCGGUGGUGGUUGUCUCAAGCAGCGUGGGUCUCGUCGCCUUCCAAAUUCACAAACGCCUCGUUUCCGAUUUCAUGAAGAAAGUUCAAUUGGAGCCCGGAUUUUGUCUCUGGCUCUCGUCGCCCUCCAAAUCUACAAACGCCUCGUUUCUGAUUUCAUGAAGAAAUUCCAAUUGGAGCCCUGUGGAGUAAAUGGCAGCAAACCGAAGAAGAAAGUGAGGUUCGCCGCGGGCGUCGUCGAUCCGUCCACUGACAACAAGGAGUACCGGAAGAGAGGAUCUGGCCGUCAAACGAACCAUGAAUGCAGGAGAUCUCAUUGAUG